rnacentral:lncRNA from 1 species
UGGCAAGGGUAGGACAACCCUAACCUUACGGGGGCAAGUCAUGGGACAUCAUGGGUGCUCACAUGGUGUACAUGUCGGUUAGAAGAACCUCCCAAAGAGUCGUCCCUCAUUCUUAGAUUGAUUUUACUGAUUUAAAAGAGAUUUGAAAUGCAGAUUUAUGAUGUAUUCAAUAUUCCAGAUUUCACUAAGAUUGCUUGAUGAGAGAAUAAGAAAAGAAUCUUGAUAUUUGGAUUAAGUGUAAUGGCUCAUGAUAUCCAGAUUGACAUGUUUUACCAUUCAUUGUGUAUGAUUUCAGAUUUUAGAUUUCUUUCAAGCUUUAUGAGUCAUUGACAA